CUUCAGGGGUAUCAUCCAUGCCACUUAACGUCCAAGACCUAACCUGAGGGAAGAUGUUGUUCCCCAGAGAAAGAAGCAAUGGACAAGAAAAACUUCGAAUGGCUUCCGAACCUCCGGUCUGGCCAGUUGCUGCCAUGGCAUCAUCACUCUGUCUCCCGAUCCGUCUCCACAGCGAGAGCCCCUGCAAGAGCAGAGAUCUCACCCAUUCCUCUGGAGGCCUCGUGCCUGACCCAGGGUCCUGUAUAUAGGACCACUCCAUUCAUUGUAAUGGAUGAGCAAAUGAAUGUUUCUUGAUAAUAAUGGACAUAAUAAAGAGGAUUGCCAUCUA